GUGGGGAAUAUUGCACAAUGGGCGAAAGCCUGAUGCAGCAACGCCGCGUGAGUGAUGAAGGUCUUCGGAUUGUAAAGCUCUGUCUUUUGGGACGAUAAUGACGGUACCAAAGGAGGAAGCCACGACUAACUACGUGCCAGCAGCCGCGGUAAUACGUAGGUGGCGAGCGCUGUCCGGAUUUACUGGGCGUAAAGGGUGCGUAGGCGGAUGUUUAAGUGAGAUGUGAAAUACCCGGGCUUAACUUGGGUGCUGCAUUUCAAACUGGAUAUCUAGAGUGCAGGAGAGGAGAAUGGAAUUCCUAGUGUAGCGGUGAAAUGCGUAGAGAUUAGGAAGAACACCAGUGGCGAAGGCGAUUCUCUGGACU
rnacentral:rRNA from 1 species